rnacentral:pre_miRNA from 1 species
UACAUACUCCCUCCGUCCCAAAAUAAGUGUCUCAAGCUUAGUACAACUUUGCACUAGAGUUAGUACAAAGUUGAGACACUUAUUUUGGGACGGAGGGAGUACAUA